CAGCCAGCCACGCGCUCGUCGCCGGCCAUUGAACGUGAGUGUUAACCCUUUCUGCGCACAGGUGCCCUGCAUACAGCCAUGGAGGAAGAGCACACCGCCUCCACACCUGUCGCUUCAGCCGCUGCCUCGGACGCCGCCGUUUCCCCUACCACCGCCGCCACCGCACCUAUCAGUGCCCCGAGUGAGGCUGCACUUUCUCCGCCCACGGAAGAACAUACCGCGGAGAUAUCGACCACCGGCGGCGGGGCAGCUCUACCCGCCGACGAAGCUCCAAGCAUCACCGCAAAGGCGGAAAGAAACACCAAGAGAAAGCGCAGGCAUCGGACAUCGACCAGUCACAGCCACAUCAGCCGCAGCAGCAGCUUACUGGCGCGGAGGGGAGCCCCGAGCGGCGGUCGAGGUGCCUAAGGCGGCCGCGCCCGCAGUCGAGGAGCAAAGGCUAAUCGCCUCGGAGCCCCGCGACAGUCCUCAGCCGACCGCCACCUCGAACACCGGACUCCUGGAGUACCCUGGCCGCGACCAUCGUGGUACUCGUGGUGGUGAUCCUGCUGCAGCUGCUGAUCGCCGCUCCCCUUCGGCGGCAGAGGGCGCCUCGAGCGCACCGCGCGGCUGGCGUCCCAACAGCCCCAACAGUGCCGCCGCUACGCGCAACUGUUCGCCGGCGCCGCGAACCUGAACGAGCCUGCGUGCGACAACUUCUACGCGCACGUCUGCAGCAGAGGUGGGGCGCAACUCACUCGAAGAAGGGCGACGGCAGCGUCCUCGCCGAGUCCUGGCGAUGGCUGGCCAGGAGAGCGGCAUCGCGGCUCAGCAUGGUCCCGGGCACCACGGGCAAGCCGGAGCCGGUGAACAGGGCCUCGCGCUUCAUCUGCGUAAGAACCACGGCGCAUCACCCAGACCGUGCUGCUGUGACUCUGUUUAAACUGGAAAACAGAUGGAGCAUGAGAGAAAUCCAAGAAUGCCGAGACGGGGUCUUCGAGAAUCCUUCGUUACGACUUAAGCAGCGUGUCUACUGACGGUGUCGUUUAGUGGGCUUCUGUAGUGACACGUAACCUAAGAAUUCAGGAAAAGCACAUCGGGCGAGGUCGUGCAUUUGUUCCCCGUGUUAGCAGCGCGAGAGACGACGAGACACAAAGUACGUAGAAGACGAUCCUGACAAGAGCGUGUUAUGCACACCUGGUAUCUGUCCUUUGGCACUUUGAGAAAUAGUCGCAUCACGACUCGCGCAUGCACGGAGAGGACGGCGCUGGGGGUUGCUAAGCAGCGAAGAACAAAUAUGCUGUGCCCACACUUGCAGAGCACGUAUUCAUAAGCAUAAGAGAUUGACGAUAGAACCGGGCGUCAUAAUCCACAGGCUUUAUCUCCUCACUCACACCCCUUCCCCCGCUUUCCCGCCUCCCCUCUAACACUGCCACUUUGCGGAAAUUGAGAAAGCGCGCUGCAGCGGAGGAUGAUCAUUAUUUAACUGCUGUACUUGUACCUCGUCCUCGAAGCGUCAAAGCGUGCUCACUUCCUUGGAGGAAAGAGGCAUGACGUCACCGCGCUGCUUCACUGAGGCUGAAACAAGCUUCGCAGUAAGCAGGAAGCACAAUCAGGAAAGUCGCCCGACGGGUAGUUGGUUCUCUUCAAGUCGGAAAUGCUCUCGCUCCAGAAACGAAGUUACCUCUCGGGGCUAAAGCUGUCCCUCAAUGAAAAGAAAGACGUUUGUUAUACAUACAUACAUACAUACAUACAUACAUACAUACAUACAUACAUACAUACAUACAUACAUACAUACAUACAUACAUACAUACAUACAUACAUACAUACAUACAUACAUACAUACAUACAUACAUAUACGUAAGUUGUAUUUGACGAGUCCUGCAAUGAUUAGGUUGCGUUAGGAUGUUCGUAGUUGUUUAUACUCCUCAGCUGAGUUUUUCGCGGUCUAAAAAUGUAACAAAGUUAUUGCUCGGCGCAAGACACAUCCUAAUUAUGUAUUGCAACUCUCUCGAACAUUGUCGCUCACAUAUAUAACGAGGAUAAUUUUUUCUAAUAAGACUGCAUGUCUGACGUGGUUAGCGUUCAAAAUUUUGGAACACAUGCGAGGCCCAGCGAUGACGCUGUAAUCUACGACGAGUCAUGUAUAAAUAGCCGACGCAUCUGACCCGUAGAUCAGAUUUUGACGACGGGUGGCUGUGCUCUCAAACGGGUUGUGCUAGGAGAGUCACUUGUUUUAGAGCGCAGCUCUUAAGCCCACACCACACGUACGCUUGCGAACGCGCCCACGCAUGCGCAGACCGUGUGGCGCGGCUCCUAUGCGUCGAUACCCGGCGCGAUCUCGGCGAACAGCUGCUCUCUGUUAUCGCGCGCUCGGAGUGCCUAGCGUCCGCACACCUAGGUGCUACGCAGCUUCGGCGCGCGACAUUCAACUCUCGAUGAAGCAGAUUUAUACCAUGCAAGGAAGUGCUUAACCUUUCCCUUUUGCCCUGACAUAACAGCCAUAAAAAUAUAACAAUUACGUUCUCAGAUAUCGAAGCACUUUGAAAAAACUCUCAAUAACAAAGCACGAAGUGGCGUUUUCCGAGGCGUCUAUGACAUGGUCCAGUGAACGCGCGCUGUCGCGCGCAUAGAGGCGCGUCUUUGUGGAUGCAAA